rnacentral:rRNA from 1 species
CAGUCGCCGCGGUAAUACAGAGGGUGCGAGCGUUAAUCGGAUUUACUGGGCGUAAAGCGUGCGUAGGCGGCUUUUUAAGUCGGAUGUGAAAUCCCUGAGCUUAACUUAGGUAUUGCAUUCGAUACUGGGAAGCUAGAGUAUGGGAGAGGAUGGUAGAAUUCCAGGUGUAGCGGUGAAAUGCGUAGAGAUCUGGAGGAAUACCGAUGGCGAAGGCAGCCAUCUGGCCUAAUACUGACGCUGAGGUACGAAAGCAUGGGGAGCAAACAGGAUUAGAUACCCCCGUAGUCCCUGUCUCUUAUAC